GGCCAGAUGACGAGUCCCAAAUAGGACGAAACGCGCAUUCUGGAU
rnacentral:hammerhead_ribozyme from 1 species